AUUGAACGCUGGCGGCAGGCCUAACACAUGCAAGUCGAACGAGUGGCGGACGGGUGAGUAAUGCUCGGGAAUCUGGCUUAUGGAGGGGGAUAACUACGGGAAACUGUAGCUAAUACCGCGUACCAUAGGAUGAGCCCAAGUGGGAUUAGGUUGUUGGUGGGGUAAAGGCUCACCAAGCCGACGAUCCCUAGCUGGUCUGAGAGGAUGACCAGCCACACUGGGACUGAGACACGGUCCAGACUCCUACGGGAGGCAGCAGUAGGGAAUCUUGCGCAAUGGAGGCAAGCUGACAGAGCCAUGCCGCGUGAAUGAAGAAGGCUUUCGGGUUGUAAAGUUCUUUCGUUAGCGAGGCGUUAACUACCCAAAAAGCACCGGCUAACUCCGUGCCAGCAGCCGCGGUAAUUC
rnacentral:rRNA from 1 species